rnacentral:tRNA from 4 species
GGCGGGAUAGCUCAGCUGGUUAGAGCGCAGGACUCAUAAUCCUGAGGUCGAGAGUUCAAGUCUCUCUCCCGCUACCA